AACCCCAUCUGAAGGGCCAACAGUUUC
rnacentral:piRNA from 1 species